CUGACCUCUAGUUAUGUGAUUUCCUUAUUUUUAGAAAGUGGUCGACUAUACAAAUCGUUCCACCAAGCUGCUGGACCAGAGAAAUACUGAUGCAGCUCUCACUGCUUUAGGUCUAGUUUCUGAGGCCUUGUCAGUUAGCUCUUACUCAGAAACAUUACUUGAAAUGAAGGCAGAGGCUCUGUGUUUGUUGCAGAGGUAUGAAGAGGCAAUUCGUCUGUGUGAACAGAGUAUGGCAUUUGCUGAUAGUAAUUUUUCCGGAUAUGAAAUUUAUCAAGUUAAGUUGUGGAGGUGGUUCUUCAUAUCCAAGUCCUACUUUCACUAGGGAAGGCUUGAGGCAGCUCUUGAUUUACUCGAUAAACUCGAGAAAGUGGGACAAAAGAGAUGUUCAAGUAAGAAACUGGAAUCAUCUAUUGAAGGAAAGAAUCACAACUGAU